UUAGGAAAUUUUCGCAAUGGGGGAAACCCUGACGGAGUAACGCCGCGUGUGGGAUGACGGCCUUCGGGUUGUAAACCACUUUUCUGUGGGAAGAGUAGAAGACGGUACCACAGGAAGAAGCCUCGGCUAACUACGUGCCAGCAGCCGCGGUAAUACGUAGGAGGCGAGCGUUGUCCGGAAUUACUGGGCGUAAAGAGCGCGUAGGCGGCGCUGUACGACCGCUGUGAAAGCCCCCGGCUCAACUGGGGGGAGGUCAGCGGUUACGGCAGUGCUCGGAGUCUAGGAGAGGGGAGUGGAACUCCGGGAGUAGCGGUGAAAUGCGUAGAGACCCGGAGGAACACCAGUGGCGAAGGCGGCUCCCUGGCCUAGUACUGACGCUGUGGCGCGAAAGCUGGGGGAGCGAACGGGAUUAGAUACCCCGGUAGUCCCAGCCGUAAACGAUGGACACUAGGUGUGCGCGGUAUCGACCCCGCGCGUGCCGGCGCUAACGCAGUAAGUGUCCCGCCUGGGGAGUAC
rnacentral:rRNA from 1 species